GGCACCAAGGGCACGGUUUGAUCUAAGAAGGCACCUUCUGGGGGAAUUUUAACGUGUUCGUUGCCCGGUAGCAGAAUAUCCUCAUUAUUUUAGUGUUUUUGCGAAGUUUUUUUCUGAAGACACGUGUCACUCGGCAGGGGAAUUGUUUAGUCCGGGGAUGUUUGGCUUGUUAUUUAAAACGGCACGAUUAAGCGCAAUUGCAUCAGAAACUGUUUAAUCGGAACACGGAAAAAAGAAGGUCGAUGCAAAAAUCGUUCAACUCCAGCUAUACUUAGACUCAUUUUGCAAUACAAAACAAUUACCAAAACAGAUACGCUCUUUAAUAAUAGCGCAUAUCUACUAUAUCUAUAUCUAUAUCUACAACAUGCCCGUCAUGGGUUCAAGCCCCGGAUGGGCCGUGCCUUCAUACGUAGGUAGGACUGACUAUCCUGAUAUGGUAACAAUAAGUCACUGAAAGCCAGCUCACACACACUAGUGGGUACAGGCAGGCCUUGAUCGACAGCGGUUGUUGUGCCAAAGAAGAAGAAGAAGAAGAAGGUAGUCCAAAAGUUGUACAGGAGCAUCGAUAGCGUAUGUGAGUAGUCGGCCAAUAAAACAAACUAGACUUAGACGUCGCCGAUGACUUAAGAACCUACACUGUAAACAGGUGCAACUCUUCGGUAUGGUGUGAGAUGCGGAAGUCGAGGAAAAACAAGGACUAGGAUAGCAUGCGUCAAGGAGUAACGCUUGUUUUGGACCUUCCCGCACGAAACCGUCGCUGUGGUAGUGUAUUGUAUAUACCUUUUUCGUUUUGGAUGAGAAUUCAAGAUAUCGUAAUAAGUGUUUUUGUCUGGCAGAAGGUGACUGUGCUAAUGUUCUCCACACAGGCUGAUGUGUUUUUUUUUUUAAUAUAAAAUGUGAAGCCCAAAUUCUUUCUUAAAUCUCCUACGGUCCAGCUCCAGCGUGUGCAAAAAUGCAAACCCAACGUAAUUGUAUGCACAGCAGGACCAAUACAGCCAGACAUACACAUGCAAAAAAAACAACACUUCAACAGGAACGUGCCAGCCAGCGACAGUGGCACUGAUCUCCUACCGUGUGCCGUGAACUCGUACGCAAUUAUCUUCUGCCUCCAAUUAAAACAAACAAGCUUCCGCCGUCCUCCAGCACCGUACACAGCACCGACAGGAAAAGGGGCCAGGAUGCAGUUCCGGGUGUGAGUAUAUGCUGCUUCCCUUACCAGCUAAUGUUUUGGUCUGCAUUUCUCAUCCUCUUCCACAAGCACAGCAACGCGGUUGGGGAAGGAAAGUGCGGACGCUCACCCACAAGCCGUCGCUGUCAUCGUCCUCAUCAUCCACAUCGUCGUGCGUCUCCUCGAUUGCUGGCGGAUUGGGGGAGAUUUUCCGCUCCGUUACCAGCAAUUUCCCCCUGUUUUCGUUGAAGAACGCCGGUAGAACAAUAGCGUGCGGAAACAGCGAUUUAACCCUCACCAGCUCGCCCGACGGUGCAGGACAAAUCGGGAGCAGCAAUAACAAUAAUCACACCGAUGACAACUACCUAACGCAAACAACUCGCCGAGCUGGCACACGGGUUGCGUGAUAGGCGCUGGUAGGUGCAGUAGCUUUGGAGGAGAUUUUUGGGCUUUAAAAUAAUAACAUCCCGCAGAGGCGUGCUCUGCUUAAGGGUGCUAGGGGUACACGGGAGAACUUCCGAACAGUGGACUGUCAAUUUGUAAGGAGUAAUCGAAUGUGUUGAUAGUUUGUUUAUUUGUUUGGAUGUGUAUUUUUGAAUUAUUUUGCAUUGUGCUGGGGCGUUGCUGAGUGUAUGUAGAGUUAUGUUGAAGAUUAAAUCUUAAGAGAAACAGAACGCAAUGUUUUGUUGAAGUGCAAUCAA